UGGGGAAUAUUGGACAAUGGGGGCAACCCUGAUCCAGCCAUGCCGCGUGAGUGAUGAAGGCCUUCGGGUUGUAAAGCUCUUUUGGCGGGGACGAUGAUGACGGUACCCGCAGAAUAAGCCCCGGCUAACUUCGUGCCAGCAGCCGCGGUAAGACGAAGGGGGCUAGCGUUGUUCGGAAUUACUGGGCGUAAAGCGAGUGUAGGCGGUUGCCGUAGUCAGGUGUGAAAAGCCUUGAGCUCAACUCAAGAAAUGCACUUGAUACUGGGUGACUAGAGGACCGGAGAGGAUAGUGGAAUUCCCAGUGUAGUGGUGAAAUACGUAGAGAUUGGGAAGAACACCAGUGGCGAAGGCGGCUAUCUGGACGGUUACUGACGCUAAGACUCGAAAGCGUGGGGAGCAAAACAGGAUUAGAUACCCUGGUAGUCCACGCCGUAAAACGAUGGGUGCUAGACGUUGGCGAGCUUGCUCGUCAGUGUCGCAGCUAACGCGUUAAGCACCCCGCCUGGGGGAGUA
rnacentral:rRNA from 1 species